GACGAACGCUGGCGGCGUGCUUAACACAUGCAAGUCGAACGGAAAGGCUCCAGCUUGCUGGAGUACUCGAGUGGCGAACGGGUGAGUAACACGUGGGUGAUCUGCCCUGCACUUCGGGAUAAGCCUGGGAAACUGGGUCUAAUACCGGAUAGGACCGCACUUUGGUGUGUGUGGUGGAAAGGUUUUUCUGGUGUGGGAUGAGCUCGCGGCCUAUCAGUUUGUUGGUGGGGUAAUGGCCUACCAAGACGGCGACGGGUAGCCGGCCUGAGAGGGUGGACGGUCACAUUGGGACUGAGAUACGGCCCAGACUCCUACGGGAGGCAGCAGUGGGGAAUAUUGCACAAUGGGGGAAACCCUGAUGCAGCGACGCCGCGGGGGGGAGGAAGGCCUUCGGGUUGUAAACUCCUUUCGCUAGGGACGAAGCUUUUUGUGACGGUACCUGGAGAAGAAGCACCGGCUAACUACGUG
rnacentral:rRNA from 1 species